UACGUAGGUGGCAAGCGUUGUCCGGAUUUACUGGGCGUAAAAGAUGCGUAGGCGGACAUUUAAGUCAGAUGUGAAAUACCCGAGCUUAACUUGGGUGCUGCAUUUGAAACUGGGUGUCUAGAGUGCAGGAGAGGUAAGUGGAAUUCCUAGUGUAGCGGUGAAAUGCGUAGAGAUUAGGAAGAACACCAGUGGCGAAGGCGACUUACUGGACUGUAACUGACGCUGAGGCAUGAAAGCGUGGGGAGCAAACAGG
rnacentral:rRNA from 1 species